GGGGUAAAGGCCUACCAAGGCGACGAUCGGUAACUGGUCUGAGAGGAUGAUCAGUCACACUGGAACUGAGACACGGUCCAGACUCCUACGGGAGGCAGCAGUGGGGAAUAUUGGACAAUGGGGGCAACCCUGAUCCAGCCAUGCCGCGUGUGUGAAGAAGGCCUUCGGGUUGUAAAGCACUUUAAGCGGGGAGGAAGGCCUGAUGGCUAAUAUCCAUCGGGAUUGACGUUACCCGCAGAAUAAGCACCGGCAAACUUCGUGCCAGCAGCCGCGGUAAUACGAAGGGUGCGAGCGUUAAUCGGAAUUACUGGGCGUAAAGCGCGCGUAGGUGGUUAAGUAAGCGAUCUGUGAAAGCCCCGGGCUUAACCUGGGAACUGCAGGUCGAACUGCUUGGCUAGAGUAUGGUAGAGGGGUGUGGAAUUUCCUGUGUAGCGGUGAAAUGCGUAGAUAUAGGAAGGAACAUCAGUGG
rnacentral:rRNA from 1 species